CUAUUAGCUCAGUGGUAGAGCGCGCCCCUGAUAAUUGCGUCGCGAGGUCUCUGGUUCAAGUCCAGGAUGGCCCAGCU
rnacentral:tRNA from 6 species